rnacentral:rRNA from 1 species
GACGAACGCUGGCGGCGUGCCUAAUACAUGCAAGUUGAGCGCUGAAGGUUGGUACUUGUCCCAACUGGCUGAGCAGCGAACGGGUGAGUAACGCGUGGGGAAUCUGCCUUUGAGCGGGGGACAACAUUUGGAAACGAAUGCUAAUACCGCAUAAAAACUUUAAACACAAGUUUUAAGUUUGAAAGAUGCAAUUGCAUCACUCAAAGAUGAUCCCGCGUUGUAUUAGCUAGUUGGUGAGGUAAAGGCUCACCAAGGCGAUGAUACAUAGCCGACCUGAGAGGGUGAUCGGCCACAUUGGGAAUGGGACACGGCCCAAAAUCCUACGGGAGGCAGCAGGAGGGAAUCUUCGGCAAUGGAAGAAAGUCUGACCGAGCAACGCCGCGUGAGGGAAGAAGGGUUUCGGAUCGUAAAAAUCCGUUGGUAGAGAAGAAAGUUGGUGAGAGUGGAAAGCUCAUCAAGUGACGGUAACUACCCAGAAAGGGACGGCUAACUACGUG